rnacentral:rRNA from 1 species
GACGAACGCUGGCGGCGUGCCUAACACAUGCAAGUCGAGCGAUGAAACCCUUCGGGGUGGAUUAGCGGCGGACGGGUGAGUAACACGUGGGUAACCUGCCUCAAAGAGGGGAAUACCCUCCCGAAAGGGAGAUUAAUACCGCAUAAUAUGUUUUGAUCGCAUGAUCUUGACAUCAAAGGAGUAAUCCGCUUUGAGAUGGACCCGCGGCGCAUUAGCUAGUUGGAGAGGUAACGGCUCACCAAGGCGACGAUGCGUAGCCGACCUGAGAGGGUGAUCGGCCACAUUGGAACUGAGACACGGUCCACACUCCUACGGGAGGCAGCAGUGGGGAAUAUUGCGCAGUGGGGGAAACCCUGACGCACCAGCGCCGCGUGAAUGAUGAAGGCCUUCGGGUUGUAAAGUUCUGUCUUCUGGGACGAUAAUGACGGUACCAGAGGAGGAAGCCACGGCUAACUACGUGCCAGCAGCCGCGGUAAUACGUAGGUGGCAAGCGUUGUCC